rnacentral:rRNA from 1 species
AAAUUGAAGAGUUUGAUCAUGGCUCAGAUUGAACGCUGGCGGCAGGCCUAACACAUGCAAGUCGAGCGGAAACGAGUUAUCUGAACCUUCGGGGAACGAUAACGGCGUCGAGCGGCGGACGGGUGAGUAAUGCCUAGGAAAUUGCCCUGAUGUGGGGGAUAACCAUUGGAAACGAUGGCUAAUACCGCAUGAUGCCUACGGGCCAAAGAGGGGGACCUUCGGGCCUCUCGCGUCAGGAUAUGCCUAGGUGGGAUUAGCUAGUUGGUGAGGUAAUGGCUCACCAAGGCGACGAUCCCUAGCUGGUCUGAGAGGAUGAUCAGCCACACUGGAACUGAGACACGGUCCAGACUCCUACGGGAGGCAGCAGUGGGGAAUAUUGCACAAUGGGCGCAAGCCUGAUGCAGCCAUGCCGCGUGUGUGAAGAAGGCCUUCGGGUUGUAAAGCACUUUCAGUCGUGAGGAAGGUAGUGUAGUUAAUAGCUGCAUUAUUUGACGUUAGCGACAGAAGAAGCACCGGCUAACUCCGUGCCAGCAGCCGCGGUAAUACGGAGGGUGCGAGCGUUAAUCGGAAUUACUGGGCGUAAAGCGCAUGCAGGUGGUUUGUUAAGUCAGAUGUGAAAGCCCGGGGCUCAACCUCGGAAUAGCAUUUGAAACUGGCAGACUAGAGUACUGUAGAGGGGGGUAGAAUUUCAGGUGUAGCGGUGAAAUGCGUAGAGAUCUGAAGGAAUACCGGUGGCGAAGGCGGCCCCCUGGACAGAUACUGACACUCAGAUGCGAAAGCGUGGGGAGCAAACAGGAUUAGAUACCCUGGUAGUCCACGCCGUAAACGAUGUCUACUUGGAGGUUGUGGCCUUGAGCCGUGGCUUUCGGAGCUAACGCGUUAAGUAGACCGCCUGGGGAGUACGGUCGCAAGAUUAAAACUCAAAUGAAUUGACGGGGGCCCGCACAAGCGGUGGAGCAUGUGGUUUAAUUCGAUGCAACGCGAAGAACCUUACCUACUCUUGACAUCCAGAGAACUUUCCAGAGAUGGAUUGGUGCCUUCGGGAACUCUGAGACAGGUGCUGCAUGGCUGUCGUCAGCUCGUGUUGUGAAAUGUUGGGUUAAGUCCCGCAACGAGCGCAACCCUUAUCCUUGUUUGCCAGCGAGUAAUGUCGGGAACUCCAGGGAGACUGCCGGUGAUAAACCGGAGGAAGGUGGGGACGACGUCAAGUCAUCAUGGCCCUUACGAGUAGGGCUACACACGUGCUACAAUGGCGCAUACAGAGGGCGGCCAACUUGCGAAAGUGAGCGAAUCCCAAAAAGUGCGUCGUAGUCCGGAUUGGAGUCUGCAACUCGACUCCAUGAAGUCGGAAUCGCUAGUAAUCGUGGAUCAGAAUGCCACGGUGAAUACGUUCCCGGGCCUUGUACACACCGCCCGUCACACCAUGGGAGUGGGCUGCAAAAGAAGUAGGUAGUUUAACCUUCGGGGGGACGCUUACCACUUUGUGGUUCAUGACUGGGGUGAAGUCGUAACAAGGUAGCGCUAGGGGAACCUGGCGCUGGAUCACCUCCUUA